rnacentral:lncRNA from 1 species
CAGAGGCUGGUCUUUUGACACGCGUCAAUCACAUGUUUAUCCUUGAGAGUGGGUUACGUGGAACCUAAGAGAGCACAGGGCUUUUGACUCGGAAUUGGAUAAAAUGGCUAUUCCCACUGGAUGAUGUUACUCUAUAAAAUUACAAAAGAAAACUAAAACAAACUCAUUUCACUUGCUGAUUUACCAGGUGGGCAAGAUCAUCGACAUAGUAUCCAACGAAAGUCCUUCUCCGUUGCCAAGGAGAGGCAAACCAAUAGAGUGGCAAUGCUUUAACACCUAUUGUAAGUGUAACAAAUUGAGAUAGAUGAGCUGUUUAAUAAAUUGGUCAAAUUUAGAUGUAGAUUUUUGACC